UACGUAGGUGGCAAGCGUUGUCCGGAUUUACUGGGCGUAAAGAGCGCGCAGGCGGUCGUUCAAGUCGCGUGUGAAAGCCCCGGCUCAACUGGGGAGGGUCACGCGAUACUGAUCGACUGGAAGGCAGGAGAGGGUAGUGGAAUUCCCGGUGUAGUGGUGAAAUGCGUAGAUAUCGAGAGGAACACCUGCGGCGAAGGCGGGUUGCUGGGCCGACACUGACGCUGAUGCGCGAAAGCCGGGGAGCGAACGGG
rnacentral:rRNA from 1 species